ACUCCUACGGGAGGCAGCAGUGGGGAAUAUUGCACAAUGGGCGCAAGCCUGAUGCAGCCAUGCCGCGUGUAUGAAGAAGGCCUUCGGGUUGUAAAGUACUUUCAGCAGUGAGGAAGGAGGUGUCGUUAAUAGCGGCAUUUCUUGACGUUAGCUGCAGAAGAAGCACCGGCUAACUCCGUGCCAGCAGCCGCGGUAAUACGGAGGGUGCGAGCGUUAAUCGGAAUUACUGGGCGUAAAGCGCAUGCAGGUGGUUUGUUAAGUCAGAUGUGAAAGCCCGGGGCUCAACCUCGGAACUGCAUUUGAAACUGGCAAACUAGAGUACUGUAGAGGGGGUAGAAUUUCAGGUGUAGCGGUGAAAUGCGUAGAGAUCUGAAGGAAUACCAGUGGCGAAGGCGGCCCCCUGGACAGAUACUGACACUCAGAUGCGAAAGCGUGGGGAGCAAACAGGAUUAGAUACCCUGGUAGGACAGUG
rnacentral:rRNA from 1 species